CGGGCUGCCCAGGGAGGUGG
rnacentral:miRNA from 1 species